AAUCUGGGGCGAAGAGGAGUUUCAGAUCAGGCGAGGCUUCCUCAGAGAGAUGAGCACUGAUCUGACUCUAAAGCACGGUUCUGUAUGGAAGUCACUCUGGCAACUUUAAAACACACACCUCUGUCAUGCUGCCCUGACUUGAAGCCAGCGACUACAAACUGAAAUUCACCCAGGAAACUAGUCAGAAAUUUUCCUCUUUGGCCACCACCCUCAUCGGACCUAGGGGCCAGCAGACGAUGGCCUCGCUCCCUUCCCUACCAUCCAUGGACUAAGGAUUAAUGGAUUUUGGCCUCUCCCCUCCUAUUCCCUGGAUCUUUGGCUGCCCCUCCUCCUACCAGGACCUUUUACUACAGUGAAUUAACCUUGCUGGACUGAUGAGAGACUCAAUAACCCCUCAGCCAAAUAGAGGACCUCAGCAGACUUUGCACUAGAGGACUUCAGUACAUAAACAAGAGCAGUAGUGAAGUCCCCUCUAGCUGUAGGACUUUUGAGCCAGGCAAGAGUGUAGGUGAGUCCUUCCUCCAUAUAGAGACAUCAGAUGGGGUGAGGAGAGUGUCAAUAAGGCCUCCCCAACCUGGAGGAAAUCAAAGGGCUUAUAAGACAUCCAGUAACACAGUAGGGUCCCAGCUGAGGUAAAUACCAUAGCCAGUUAGAUCUGGUGACCUGGAACAACCUGAAGCCAUAGUAACACCAGAAAAUUAGAGUUGACAUGUCAAUACUCCUAGACUAGUCAGCCUAGGAAGAACAUAGGACUCAGGAGAAAUUCAGAUGACUGGCUCUCCUCUUCAUUAUGGUACCCACUAACUGGACAAACAUCAGCCACAGAGUAGGAUGCUAAGAUAUGCACUAUCAACAAUUGAGACUAGUGAGAUUGAGAGACCAAAUAUAGCCUGAAAGAUGAAAAUUACAAAACAAAAAAGCAAAAUGCAAUCUCAAAUAUCUAGUCCAUCAGGAACAAGUACAGGAGACAUUGAAAUAAAAGACAUUAAAAGUCAUCCACCUGAAAUUUUUGAAAAGAUAGCAAGUGAAAGAAACAAAUCCAUGAGGCUAUAGACGAAAUCAGAUUAGAAAUAACCUCUCAUGUAAAGGCAGAAAUGACAACCUUAAUAAAGAAGUUACUCAGCAUAGCAAGAGAAGACAUGAUUUUAAAAAAAAGUACAGGAGCAUGGAAAAAUGAUUGAAACUUUGAAUGAACAAUAUAGAAAACAAGUACAAUGCAUGGAACAAAUUCAAAGAGAUGUUCAAGAAAUAAAAAAUUCUGUUGAACGAUGAAAAAACAAUUUAAAUGAAGCUGAGGAUAGAAUUUCAGACCCUGAGAACAGGAUCACAGCUAGUGAUCAUGAAAGGAUACAACUUUUAUCUUUUUUUUUUUUUUUUUUUUUUUUUUUUUGAAGGUAGUAAAAUACAAUAGCACAAGACAGAACAAAGCCAAACGAGACAAGGCAGUGAUAUCGGUACAGAAUUUCACUACCGGUUACCAGGUAACAGUAAUAGGUGCCAUAGUAUAUAUCUCAUUAUCUUCACAAUAGUUGUCCUUUCAAUCAGGUAUAGCAAAAUCAAACCAAAUACGUAACAUCAUAAAGUCUAUCAAAACAGAGUAUUGAAUAGAGUAAUACAAUUAAUCAGAACAAAACAAGUGAUAAUAAUAUUUGCCUUCAAAGAGAUGGUAGAAGGAAAUCCCCCAUAUUUACUACAUUGCAUACAGUCAUCCUCCCAAGAGAUGCUCAGACCUCUGGCUCCCAUUUGCUAAUGGGGGAGGGGGAAGGAUGGGAUGCCUUGAUUUUCAGCCCAUGCGCUGGUAGGCUCACGGGUGCUUACCAGGGAAGCAAGUGGUUUCUUUUGUUGCCCAGAGCACUAAGUUCUAUCCUGGUGAGGUUCUUGGGAGACACUGGCUGGCUGGUUCUCUCCCUGGGUCACCUGCCACUCACUCAAGCCACAGCUGCUUACCAGGGAAUCGAGCAGGUUCCUUUGUUACCCAGCACCUUCAAGGAUAGAACUUUUUUUUAAAAAGCAGCAUGAAAUGACAAUUCAACAGCUUCAAGAUGAAGCAAAGAGAAACAAUAUAAGACUAAUAGGCAUCAGUGAUGUAGGAGUCAACACAAAUGACAUUGGUAAACUAUUCACAGAAGUAAUAGCAGAAAAUUUUCCAAAUAUGGGGAAAGAAUCAGAUAUACAGAUCAGUGAGGUAUAUAGAUUGCCAGUCAUAACUAAAAUAAACCCAUAUCCAGACAUAUAGUAACUGAGAUCCCAGGGGCUGGGGAUUUAGCUCAGUGGCAUAAGUGCCUGCCUUGCAAGCAGGUAGUCGUGAGUUCGAUCCCUGGUACCGAUAAAAAGGAAAAAGACCAAAAAAAAAAAGUAAUUGAGAUCCCAGACAUACAGAAUAAAAAUAGAACAUUAAAAGCUGUUAGAGAAAAGACCCAAUAUACCUAUCAAGGAAAGCCCAUUAUAAUUACAGCAGACUUUUCGGCACAAAUCUUCAAGUUAAGAGUUUAGAGUGAAGUAUUUUAAGCCCUGAAAGAAAACAGCUUUCAAUACAGAUUGAUGUACCUUGCAAAACUUGCUUUGGAAUCUAAUGGAGAAAUAAGAUACUUCCAUGACAAAGAACAACUGAAGAAAUUCAUGUCUACCACACCAACCCUAGAAAGAAUACUAAGGACAUACUACAUAGAGAUAAAAAUGACUACAGUUUCCAGGACAAUAACAGAAAGAAACCACCAGACAGGGCAAGCAAUUAAACAAGGGGGAAAAGCAGAAAACCAACAACAGGAAAAUAACAUGACAAAGUUGAACCAGAACGUAUCAGUAAUAUCAAUAUAAAUAGAUUUAAUUCACCUAUUAAAAGAAAUACAUUGACAGAAUGGAUCAAGAAACAGGAGCCAACAAUAUGCUAUAUACAAGAAACAUAUCUGCCUCAAAAGGAAAAAUCAUAGAUAAAAGUCAAAGGUUAGAAAACAAUAUUCCAUGUAUCAGGAACACAGAAAAAAGCAGGGGUAGCUAUUCUGUUUGCAGACAAUGUGAACUUCAAACCACAAUGAUCAAAAGAGAUAAAUAAGGUCACCACAUAUGUGUCAAGCGAAUAAUUCAAGAAGAGCUACUAAUCAUAAAAAUAUAUAUGCACUAAAUAUAGGCACACCCAACUAUAUAAGACAAAUACUAAUGGACAUGAAAAGCCAAACAACAACAUAAUUGUAGUAGGGGACCUUAAUACCCCAUUGUCACAAAGAGAUAACUAGACAAAAAGUCAGCAAAGAAAUAACAGAAUUGAAUCUAAACCUGUGAGCAAAUGGACUUAGUGGAUGUUUACAGAGUGUUCCACCCAACCACAUCAUAACACACAUUCUUCUCAGCUAUGCAUGGGACAUUCUCCAAAACAGACUAUAUAUUAGCCCAUAGAACCUACUUAAGUAAAAGUAAAGGUAUUGAAAUUAUCCCAUGCAUAUUAUCUGAUCAUAGUUCACUGAAAUGUUGGUGAGACUGUGGGGAAUAAGGAACACUUCUCCACUGUUGGUGGGAGUGUAGAAUGAUACAGUGACUGCGAAAAUCUGUAUGGAAAUUUCUCAAAAGUUUGGAUUGGAAGUUCCAUUCAAUCCAGCUAUUCCCCUCCUGAAUAUUUUCCCAGAAAAACUGAAAAGGCCAAUUCAUAGUGAUACACGUGCACCCAUGUUUAUAGCAGCACAAUUUGUAAUAGCUAAGUCUUGGAAACAACCAAGAUGCCCAUCAGCUGCAGAGUGGAUGAAAAAGAUGUGUAAUGGAAAAUUACUCAGCUAUAAAAAGAAUGAUUUUGAGGCUUUUACAAGUAAAUGGAGGCAACUUGAGUCUAUCCUCAUAAGUGAAAUAAAUCAGACUCACAUUUAUAAAUAUCAUAUUAUGUCUAGUGUAAAAUAAUAAUAAUAAUAAAGUGAAAGCAGUAAGAUCCAAAAAUGUAAAAUAGAUAUUAUAAUCAAGAGAAAAAAGUGCUCGAAAGGAAAGAACAACUGUAGGUAUAUACAUUUAACUGUAUGUAUAAGUGUGCAAGAUAGAUAACCAUACUUCUAAGAUUUUGAUAGUUCAUCAAACAGUAGUUUGUGCUGUCAUUGACUGACUGUUCAUUUUUAUGCUUUGAUUUUGUAACGUGAACAACUACUUCUAAGAUAACAAUAUGUAAUAUAUCAA